AUUGAACGCUGGCGGCAGGCCUAACACAUGCAAGUCGAGCGGAGCGGCGGACGGGUGAGUAAUGCCUAGGAAUCUGCCUGGUAGUGGGGGAUAACGUCCGGAAACGGGCGCUAAUACCGCAUACUAUCAGAUGAGCCUAGGUCGGAUUAGCUAGUUGGAGGGGUAACGGCCCACCAAGGCGAUGAUCAGUAGCCGGUCUGAGAGGAUGAACGGCCACUUUGGGACUGGGAUACGGCCCAGACUCCUACGGGAGGCAGCAGUGGGGGCUAUUGCACAAUGGGCGAAAGCCUGAUGCAGCGACGCCGCGUGGGGGAUGAAGUCUUUCGGGUUGUAAACCUCUUUCGCGGGUAGGUGGAGAAGAAGCGCCGGCUAACUACGUGCCAACAGCCGCGGUAAUAC
rnacentral:rRNA from 1 species